AUACGUAGGGGACGAGCGUUGUCCGGAAUUACUGGGCGUAAAGGGCGCGCAGGCGGAUAUUUAAGUCAGCUGUAAAAGGCAUGAGCUCAACUCAUGUAUGCGGUUGAAACUGGGUAUCUAGAGUGCUGGAGAGGUAGGCGGAAUUCCCGGUGUAGCGGUGAAAUGCGUAGAUAUCGGGAAGAACACCAGUGGCGAAGGCGGCUUACUGGCCAGCAACUGACGCUGAGGCGCGAAAGCCAGGGGAGCGAACGGGAUUAGAUUCCCCGGUAGUCCUGGCCGUAAACGAUGAAUGCUAGGUGUGGGUGUCGAGAGGCAUCCGUGCCGGAGUUAACGCGAUAAGCAUUCCGCCUGGGGAGUACGAUCGCAAGAUUGAAACUCAAAUGAAUGGACGGGG
rnacentral:rRNA from 1 species